rnacentral:rRNA from 1 species
CGGCUACCAUGCAGUCGACGCUGAGCUUGGUGCUUGCACUGGGUGGAUGAGUGGCGAACGGGUGAGUAAUACGUGAGUAACCUGCCCUUGACUCUGGGAUAAGCCUGGGAAACUGGGUCUAAUACUGGAUAUGACAUGUCACCGCAUGGUGGUGUGUGGAAAGGGUUUUACUGGUUUUGGAUGGGCUCACGGCCUAUCAGCUUGUUGGUGGGGUAAUGGCUCACCAAGGCGACGACGGGUAGCCGGCCUGAGAGGGUGACCGGCCACACUGGGACUGAGACACGGCCCAGACUCCUACGGGAGGCAGCAGUGGGGAAUAUUGCACAAUGGGCGGAAGCCUGAUGCAGCGACGCCGCGUGAGGGAUGACGGCCUUCGGGUUGUAAACCUCUUUCAGCACGGAAGAAGCGAAAGUGACGGUACGUGCAGAGGAAGCGCCGGCUAACUACGUGCCGCCCCCCGGGGAAUAAUAAGGCAGGUCCCGG